CUCGAUAGUCGAUAUGUAAAUACUAAAUGGUACAUUAUAUGGAUCAAUGCAAACUGGAACAAAACAACAAUUGUCAAUUGAAGUUCUAAUUUUGGGAAAAUUAGUAACAAAUAUAAAAUCACUAAACAGCUCAUCGAUUUGUAUGUUUGCGCUAUUAAAAGUAGACAAUAUUGAACAAUGAUCUGAAGUUGUCACGCAACUGACAACAAUAUUAUAUUUCAAAAUACCUGUAUAUGAUGAUAUUUUACAAAUAUCUCGGGAUUUUUGGACCAAUUUUAAACUAAGCAAGGUAAAAAGUCUCCAUUCAAGAAUAUAUCUUCUUCUCAAAAGGUAAAAUACUUAAAAUACUUGAUUAAAUUGUUUACUUCGACGGUAUGUAAAUUAACAGCGUUUGACUUGCAAGACGUCAAAAACGGAAGAUUUCAACGCGCUGUCGUUUAUCGCGUAUUCAUUUGCCAAAAGAAG